GAACGCUGGCGGCGUGCUUAACACAUGCAAGUCGAACGGAGUUUACAUGUGAGCGGAGAGUGCUUGCACUUAACAAUCUUUUGUAAACUUAGUGGCGGACGGGUGAGUAACGCGUGGGUAACCUGCCGUAUACAGGGGAAUAACAGUGAGAAAUCACUGCUAAUACCGCAUAUGCGCACAGUACCGCAUGGUACAGUGUGGAAAACUCCGGUGGUAUGAGAUGGACCCGCGUUGGAUUAGCUAGUUGGUAGGGUAGAGGCCUACCAAGGCGACGAUCCAUAGCCGGCCUGAGAGGGUGGACGGCCACAUUGGGACUGAGACACGGCCCAGACUCCUACGGGAGGCAGCAGUGGGGAAUAUUGCACAAUGGGGGAAACCCUGAUGCAGCGACGCCGCGUGAAGGAAGAAGUAUCUCGGUAUGUAAACUUCUAUCAGCAGGGAAGGUAAUGACGGUACCUGACUAAGAAGCCCCGGCUAACUACGUG
rnacentral:rRNA from 1 species